rnacentral:rRNA from 1 species
CCUACGGGUGGCUGCAGUGGGGAAUAUUGCACAAUGGGGGAAACCCUGAUGCAGCGACGCCGCGUGAGUGAAGAAGUAUUUCGGUAUGUAAAGCUCUAUCAGCAGGGAAGAAGCAAGACGGUACCUGACUACGAAGCCCCGGCUAACUACGUGCCAGCCGCCGCGGUAAUAUGGAGGGGGCAAGCGUUAUCCGGAUUUACGGGGUGUAAAGGGAGCGUAGACGGUAUGGCAAGUCUGAAGUGAAAGCCCAGGGCUUAACCCGGGGACUGCUUAGGAAACUGGUAGACUAGAGUGCUGGAGAGGAAAGUGGAAUUCCGAGUGGAGCGGUGAAAUGCGUAGAUAGUAGGAGGAACACCAGUGGCGAAGGCGGCUAACUGGACAGUAACUGACGUUGAGGCUCGAAAGCGUGGGGAGCAAACAGGAUUAGAUACCCGAGUAGUC